AUACGGAGGGUGCAAGCGUUAUUCGGAAUCACUGGGCGUAAAGGACGCGUAGGCGGGUUGGCAAGUCAGAUGUGAAAUCCUACAGCUUAACUGUAGAACUGCAUUUGAAACUGCUAACCUAGAGUAUGGGAGGGGGAGAUGGGAUUAGUGGUGUAGGGGUAAAAUCCGUAGAUAUCACUAGGAAUACCGAAAGCGAAGGCGAUCUCCUGGAACAUAACUGACGCUAAGGCGUGAAAGCGUGGGGAGCAAACAGGAUUAGAUACCCUAGUAGUCC
rnacentral:rRNA from 1 species